GACGAACGCUGGCGGCGUGCUUAACACAUGCAAGUCGAGCGGUAAGGCCUUUCGGGGUACACGAGCGGCGAACGGGUGAGUAACACGUGAGUGAUCUGCCCUCAACUUCGGGAUAAGCUUCGGAAACGGGGUCUAAUACCGGAUAUGAUGUCCUACUUCAUGGUGGGGUGUUGAAAGUUUUGGCUGGGGAUGGGCCUGCGGUCUAUCAGCUUGUUGGUGGGGUGAUGGCCUACCAAGGCGACGACGGGUAGCCGGCCUGAGAGGGCGACCGGCCACACUGGGACUGAGACACGGCCCAGACUCCUACGGGAGGCAGCAGUGGGGAAUAUUGCGCGAUGGGCGGAAGCCUGACGCAGCGACGCCGCGUGGGGA
rnacentral:rRNA from 1 species